UGGUGGAGCGAUUUGUCUGGUUAAUUCCGAUAACGAACGAGACUCUGGCCUAUUAAAUAGUUCGCCGAUUCCGAUCUGUCGGCGUUAACUUCUUAGAGGGACAAGUGGUUUUUAGCCACGCGAGAUUGAGCAAUAACA
rnacentral:rRNA from 1 species